rnacentral:misc_RNA from 1 species
AAAUUAAAAAAAAAAAAACUGAAAAGAAAAUUACAAUAAGACCAGACCCAGCAAAGGCAAGCACUCAGUCGACUAAGAACCAAAGUAUUCCAAGAGAAUGGAUGGUAAAUUCAUUCAUAAUUACAUCGUUUUCUCAAAAUUAAAUAACGGACAGACUAGAAUGGGGAGAAUUAAAACAUAUUGCCUGAAAUUAAAGGCUUCAUAAAAUUGGAAAUCAGAAGAAAAUCUAGCUUGAAUAGACUAGCAUUACGAGCUUACAGACUCUUCCAACAC